rnacentral:rRNA from 1 species
GGAUAGAACGCUAGCGGCAGGCUUAAUACAUGACAAGUCGAAGGGGGUAGCAAUACAACCGGCGCACGGGUGAGUAACGCGUACACAACAUACCAUAUACUGGGGUAUAGCUUCGGGAAACUGAAGGUAAUCCCCCAUAAUAUUGUGGGAAGGCAUCUUUCUGCAAUUAAAGUUUCGACGGUAUAUGAUUGGUGUGCGUUUGAUUAGCUAGUUGGUAGGGUAACGGCCUACCAAGGCGACGAUCAAUAGCUGGCGUGAGAGCGCGACCAGCCACACUGGAACUGAGACACGGUCCAGACUCCUACGGGAGGCAGCAGUAGGGAAUAUUGGGCAAUGGAGGCAACUCUGACCCAGCCAUCCCGCGUGCAGGAAUAAGGCCCUAUGGGUUGUAAACUGCUUUUAUUAGGGAAGAAAAACUCCGAUUCAUCGGAGCUUGACGGUACCUAACGAAUAGCACCGGCUAACUCCGUG